rfam:Schistosoma haematobium scaffold163_25, whole genome shotgun sequence.
AUCGAACUGAAGAAUCCCAAAGAGGACGAAACGCGCGUCCUGAAU